rnacentral:lncRNA from 1 species
UGUCCUCUUUGUUUCAAAGUUAAACUAUGAGUAAGUUCCUCUCAAAGUUAGUUUGGCCUACACCCAAGAAUGAACAAGGACAGGUUAGACUCUAAUCUAGAAAUCUAGAAGCAAGAUGGAGUUGGUUAGGGCAGAUUUUUUUUUUUUUUUGAGACAUAGUUUCGCUCUGUCAUCCAGGCUGGAGUGCAGCGGCGCGAACUCUGGCUCACUGCAAGCCCCGCCUCCCAGGUUCGCGCCAUUUUCCUGCCUCAGCCUCCUGAGUAGCUGGGUCUACAGGCGCCCGCCAUCACGCCCGGCUAAUUUUUUGUGCUUUUAAUAGAGAUGGGGUUUCACCGUGUUAGCCAGGAUGGUCUUGAUCUCCUGACCUCAUGAUCCGCCCUCCUCGGCCUCCCAAAGUGCUGGGAUUACAGGUGUGAGUCACCGCGCUCGGCCAGGGCAAAUCUCUUUAACUAUUAUAAUUUUCUCAGUUAUAAUCUUGCCAUGGUGGUUUCAAAAGGUGACUGGAAGAAAGCGGAAGGAAUGCUUGCCUCAUCUUGCAGACAUCAGGUGCAUUCCUGAGAAGCUACAGGUGCACAACCUUAGUCAGGCUCUGGGGAUACAGAAGUAACAAGAAGACCAGACCCUUGUUCCAAUGGAGGAGACAUCCUGGUGGGUGAGACAGAAGGAAAAAAAAAUAAAGCAAAUCAACAAAAUAACAGCUGUUGGGAUAAGUGCUCUGUAGCAAACAAACAAGGCAAGGAUAGAAGAUCUUCCUGGAGGCAGUGAGGGACAUUGUCUAAAAACCAACCUGCUCCAAAUCUUAUCUCAGGCUCUGCUUUCAAAAGAACUCAAACCAGUAUUUCCUGUUUUUACACCGGACCCAAAAUUAACAAGAGGCAGUUUGAGAUUAUUGGAAGAGAUUUGUACUUCAAGUCGGGAAAGCUGGAUUCUAAUCACAGUCCUGCCACUGGAAUCCAAG